rnacentral:lncRNA from 1 species
ACGAUUCUUAGAAAAUAGAAACUAAUGAGAGGAAAGUCGAAGUAGCGACGUUACAAAGAAGGAAUUAUGAGAUGGGAAGUCGAAGAGACAUACGUUAUGAAAAGAAUUAAUAAGACGGGAAGCCGAAGAGAUAGACGUUACAGGGAAGGAAAGCUGAAGAGACCGCUUAGCCAUUUGGUUCAAAAGAGGAGCAAGUGAGGGUGAAAGAUAGGCUGCCACGUGGUAAGUUUAGGGGAAAUAAUGUUAAGGUAUAGAU